UACGUAGGGGGCAAGCGUUGUCCGGAUUUAUUGGGCGUAAAGAGCGUGUAGGCGGCCAGAUAGGUCCGUUGUGAAAACUGGAGGCUUAACCUUCAGACGUCGAUGGAAACCAUCUGGCUAGAGUCCGGAAGAGGAGAAUGGAAUUCCUGGUGUAGCGGUGAAAUGCGCAGAUAUCAGGAAGAACACCCGUGGCGAAGGCGGUUCUCUGGGACGGUACUGACGCUGAGACGCGAAAGCGUGGGGAGCGAAC
rnacentral:rRNA from 1 species